rnacentral:rRNA from 1 species
AACGAACGCUGGCGGCAGGCCUAACACAUGCAAGUCGAACGCUCCGCAAGGGGAGUGGCGCACGGGUGAGUAACACGUGGGAACCUACCUUCUGGUACGGAACAACCAAGGGAAACUUUGGCUAAGACCGUAUACGACCUCCGGGUGAAAGAUUGAUCGCCGGAAGAGGGGCCCGCGUCCGAUUAGGUAGUUGGUGAGGUAACGGCUCACCAAGCCUUCGAUCGGUAGCUGGUCUGAGAGGAUGACCAGCCACACUGGGGACUGAGACACGGCCCAGACUCCUACGGGAGGCAGCAGGUGGGGAAUAUUGGACAAUGGGCGCAAGCCUGAUCCAGCCAUGCCGCGUGAGUGAUGAAGGCCUUCGGUUGUAAG